GGACCUCUGUCUUUGUGCCAUUGGUACUUGGAUAGAACCACAUAAGCAGGUGAAACUUCUUAGAGGAACUGGCGCUCAAAAAGGCGCACGAGAAAGAGCAAUAACAGGUCUGUGAUGCCCUAAGAUGUCCGGGGCCGCACGCGUGCUACAAUGACGAUGCUACUGAGCAUGAUUAACUUGUCCGAAAGGACUGGUGAAACUGUUCAAUCAUCGUCGUGACUGGGAUUGGGGUUUGCAAUUGUCCCCCAUGAACCAGGAAUUCCUAGUAAGCACAAGUCAUAAGCUUGUGCUGAUUACGUCCCUGCCCUUUGUACACACCGCCCGUCGCUACUACCGAUUGAAUGGUUUAGCAAGGACAUUGGAUUGAGCCUUUGCGGCUUCGGCUGCUUGGGUUUGAGAAGAUGUCCGAACUUGAUCAUUUAGAGGAAGUAAAAGUCGUAACAAGGUUUCCGUAGGUGAACCUGCGGAAGGAUCAUUACCAAGUUUCCUGAUACAGCAUUCUGACUAUGCCUACGUAGUGUCAUGUCUUGGCUGCAUCUGAUUUACAGAUCGCCCGGGCUGCAUUGCUAGGAGGUUAAGCAGUUUGUGAAUGAGAUUCGGCACGCCGGGGACUAUGCCCCAUAGUGCAGGAUCGCCUGUGAUACAGAAAUGAGCAUGACAGUUCGGGUUGUAACACACCAUUAUGGCCUGCGCUUGUCUUGUUCAUCCGCCGACUCUGACUGGAGUGGCCAUGUAGUUGCGUGCAGGUGGUAACGUUCUGCGCGUGACUUAUUGGUCGCACUAUGUGAAUUGUAAAUGUUCAGUCAGAGACCCGGUACGUUGCAAACCUUCUCCCUUCGGGUGAGUCCUCUGUGUACUUUCAAAUAUUUUAAACAACCAUGGCUAUGUAUGGUGCGGCGUCGGUAGUCAAUACUGACAAUGUGCUGUUCUGGCCCGGUGCGCGUUGCCUUCGGGUGACAAACGCCAACCUUACAACUGCUACGUAGCUUGCAUUG
rnacentral:rRNA from 1 species